CUUCGAGGCCUUGCACAAUCUGGAACCCCGUGGCUAUGUUGUGGGGUGGAUCAUCGCCAUCAGUUUGCUGGUGGGGAUCCUCAUUUUUCUGCUGCUGGCUGUGCUACUGUGGAAGAUGGGCUUCUUCCGCAGAAGGUACAAAGAAAUCAUUGAAGCUGAGAAAAACCGGAAAGAGAAUGAAGAUGGUUGGGACUGGGUCCAGAAAAACCAGUGACCCACUCUGCCAGUCAUAUGAUGCCCUCACGUCCCCAUCACCAGCCUGUGGUCCUUGAUCUUUGUAUCUUCCAUAUUUGGAAGAAAGAAAUCUUCUCCAGAUUUUUCGGAGGCCCCACUGACGACGCUAUUCUCUUUCUCAUUCUGUCAAGCCCGGUUCCGACCUGAGAUGGCCACCUCCAGCCAGGUCACAUGACUGGGGCCACCACCACUCCCCUUCACAAGAUGAACUCAGAACUUUGGAAAGACAAGCUAUAGAGCAAACCAAUAUUUAUGGAUGCAACAUUGUGUGGUCAACCCUCAGGGGAAAACUGUUACCUAAAAGUAUUUUUUAUAAAUGUAAGCCUUUUAUAUUGAUCAUGUCUUUAUAUUUGUAUCAAUGUUUUAUUAUUUCUAUUAAAUAGUUCUAUAAUUCACUCAA